rnacentral:rRNA from 1 species
UACGUAGGGUGCAAGCGUUAAUCGGAAUUACUGGGCGUAAAGCGUGCGCAGGCGGUUUUGUAAGUCUGUCGUGAAAUCCCCCGGGCUCAACCUGGGAAUUGCGAUGGAGACUGCAAGGCUAGAAUCUGGCAGAGGGGGGGGGUAGAAUUCCACGUGUAGCAGUGAAAUGCGUAGAGAUGCGGAGGAACACCGAUGGCGAAGGCAGCCCCCUGGGCUGACACUGACGCUCAGGCACGAAAGCGUGGGGAGCAAACAAGGAUUAG